UGUCAAGGGAUGGGAAUCGAACCCACGACCUUCCGCUUAACAGGCAGAUGCCAUGACCACUAGGCUACCCUGGAC
rnacentral:tRNA from 1 species